rnacentral:rRNA from 1 species
AACGAACGCUGGCGGCAUGCCUAACACAUGCAAGUCGAACGAAGCCUUCGGGCUUAGUGGCGCACGGGUGCGUAACACGUGGGAAUCUGCCCUUCGGUUCGGAAUAACAGUUAGAAAUGACUGCUAAUACCGGAUGAUGACGUAAGUCCAAAGAUUUAUCGCCGAAGGAUGAGCCCGCGUAGGAUUAGGUAGUUGGUAGGGUAAUGGCCUACCAAGCCGACGAUCCUUAGCUGGUCUGAGAGGAUGAUCAGCCACACUGGGACUGAGACACGGCCCAGACUCCUACGGGAGGCAGCAGUGGGGAAUCUUGGGCAAUGGGCGAAAGCCUGACCCAGCGACGCCGCGUUGGGGAUGAAGCCCUUCGGGGCGUAAACCCAUGUUGUAGGGGACGAAGAAAGUGACGGUACCCUACGAGAAAGCCCCGGCCAACUACGUG